rnacentral:rRNA from 1 species
GAGUUUGAUCGUGGCUCAGAGCGAACGCUGGCGGCAGGCUUAACACAUGCAAGUCGAACGGGCACUUCGGUGUCAGUGGCAGACGGGUGAGUAACGCGUGGGAACAUACCUCUUGGUUCGGAACAACACAGGGAAACUUGUGCUAAUACCGGAUAAGCCCUUACGGGGAAAGAUUUAUCGCCGAGAGAUUGGCCCGCGUCUGAUUAGCUAGUUGGUGUGGUAAAGGCGCACCAAGGCGACGAUCAGUAGCUGGUCUGAGAGGAUGAUCAGCCACAUUGGGACUGAGACACGGCCCAAACUCCUACGGGAGGCAGCAGUGGGGAAUAUUGGACAAUGGGCGCAAGCCUGAUCCAGCCAUGCCGCGUGAGUGAUGAAGGCCUUAGGGUUGUAAAGCUCUUUUGUACGGGAAGAUAAUGACGGUACCGUAAGAAUAAGCCCCGGCUAACUUCGUGCCAGCAGCCGCAGU